rnacentral:miRNA from 1 species
GUGUUUAUAACGUCGAUAUUCGACUUCAUAAACGCGAUCAACUUUGGUGUUGAUGACGUCGAUAUUCGACGUCAUAAACACGAUCAACUUUGGUGUUUAUGACGUCGAUAUUCGACGUAAUAAACAAGAUCAACUUUGUUGUUUAUGACGUCGAUAUUCGACGUCGUAAAUACGAUCAACUUUGGUGUUUCUGACGUCGAUAUUCGACGGAAUAACCAC